rnacentral:rRNA from 1 species
CGUAGGGGGCAAGCGUUGUCCGGAUUCAUUGGGCGUAAAGGGCUCGUAGGCGGUCUGUUGCGUCGGGAGUGAAAACUUACAGCUUAACUGUGAGCGUGCUUCCGAUACGGGCAGACUUGAGGUAUUCAGGGGAGAACGGAAUUCCUGGUGUAGCGGUGAAAUGCGCAGAUAUCAGGAGGAACACCGGUGGCGAAGGCGGUUCUCUGGGAAUAUCCUGACGCUGAGGAGCGAAAGUGUGGGGAGCGAACAGG